rnacentral:snRNA from 1 species
AUAUUCUGGUUUCUCUUCAGAUUGUAUAAAUAUUUUGCCUUUUACUAAAGAUUUCCAUGGAGAAAUGGUGUUAUGUUCAUUUUCCUCUGUCCCUCAUAAAAUGGUACA